rnacentral:rRNA from 1 species
UACGUAGGGGGCGAGCGUUGUCCGGAUUCAUUGGGCGUAAAGCGCGCGUAGGCGGCCCCGCAAGUCGGCCGUGAAAUCUCCGGGCUCAACUCGGAGGGGUCGGGCGAGACUGCGGGCUCGAGGUGGGCAGAGGGCAGUGGAAUUCCGGGUGUAGUGGUGGAAUGCGUAGAGAUCCGGAGGAACACCAGUGGCGAAGGCGGCUGCCUGGGCCUGGCCUGACGCUGAGGCGCGAAAGCGUGGGGAGCGAGUCCGG